UGAGGAAUAUUGGUCAAUGGAGGCAACUCUGAACCAGCCAUGCCGCGUGCAGGAAGACUGCCCUAUGGGUUGUAAACUGCUUUUAUACAGGAAGAAACAGAACUACGUGUAGUUCCUUGACGGUACUGUAAGAAUAAGCACCGGCUAACUCCGUGCCAGCAGCCGCGGUAAUACGGAGGGUGCAAGCGUUAUCCGGAAUCAUUGGGUUUAAAGGGUCCGCAGGCGGUCAAUUAAGUCAGAGGUGAAAUCCCAUAGCUUAACUAUGGAACUGCCUUUGAUACUGGUUGACUUGAGUUAUACGGAAGUAGAUAGAAUAAGUAGUGUAGCGGUGAAAUGCAUAGAUAUUACUUAGAAUACCGAUUGCGAAGGCAGUCUACUACGUAUAUACUGACGCUCAUGGACGAAAGCGUGGGGAGCGAACA
rnacentral:rRNA from 1 species